rnacentral:lncRNA from 1 species
CAACUUUUUGUGGUCCGCCUGUUAGAGAGAGAGGGAGAGAGAGUAAGAGAGACGUAGAGUUGGCAUUGGUACAAGAGCGAGAUGCAAGUAAGGUCAUAAAUGUAAGGCAGUUUCGAGUUGAACUUUAUUUAAUUGAGUAUUUCGGUGUUAAGGCUAUGCAAAUGCAGACAAGCACCGCACAGAGAGAUGUCAGGUUUAUGAGAAUAGUUGGCUGAGGC